GAAGCAAUUCAUUGCCUUUAAAUGGCUCCAUGCUCAGGUCCACCACCUCACAAAAUGACAGAAACAAGGAUGCUGGGAGCAGGGUGUGGAAACCAUUGGACCACAUAGCCCCCCUUUGCAGGUUUGGGUGAGGAUUUGAUGCCUCUAUGGAUACCAGUAGGCCGUUGGUGUACCUGGUAUCUCUAUGAAUGAUGAUGUCUACACUGAUCCAGACACUGUUGCCAAACAUUCUGCUUUUCAUUAUGCAUGAGCCUCUGCACCUGAUAAUUAUCACCCUGUAUUUUGUACCUUCGUCAUCUGUAGCGGGUAGAGUGACUUCCUACACCAUUUCCUGUAUGUCUUGUGGUGCCCUGACAUGGGUCCAGGGCCACACUGCAUCCACAGCCAAACACUCAAUCAAUCAUCAAUAAUGGAUUAACUUCUCAUGGUCAGGGUUCAUAGUCAUGUAGAACAUUUUAAAGGAGAUUAUAUUUGCUGUUGACUGUAGAAAUUAUUUAUUUCACAAUUGCAAUUUUGGCUUUGGGCCAUUUUCAAUUGGGAUUUCAAAAGAUUUUGCGUACUGUAUUUCUGCAAUGAAAAGGCUUGUUUUUGACGAUGUCAUGUAUAGAUGUCGGAGAAUUUGAAAGUCCGACAUGUGCUGAAGCAAAAUCUUUUGCAGUGCCAUUUGAAAAUGGCUCAAAACCCAAAAUUGCAACUGCGAAACAAAUAAUUUCUACAGUUAUCAGCAAAUAUGAUGUCCUUUAAAAAGUUCUACAUGACUGCGAACCAUGACCACCUUAUUGGUGAAUUGCCAGCAUCACAUCCUUGCCUUUUCAACCAUAACAGGAUGAGUUCCCUAAUCAGUGGCCAGAAAGUGUGAUUUUAUCAUCCCCUUGAUAUGGACAGUUAUCGCCCAAUUAACAUCACCAAUGUUCUCAUGAAUGUUCUCUGCAAGUUGCUCGAUUGUAUGGUGAUGUGAUGGCUGUGUUGGUACCUUGUGUCAGGGGUCUUCAGGUGCCAUCUGAGAGCAGUUUUCGCCAAGGCCAUUCUCCUGUUGACAGUUUGGUAUGCCUAGAGUCUGAUAUUCUGUCAGCUUAUGCCUGGUACUGACAUCUUAUUGCUGUCUUCCUUUGACUGACAUAGGACUUACAAGAUGACAUGUCAUCACCACAUCCCUUCUAUCCUCCAUGUGUGGGUCUCCAGGGUCAACUCCUGAUUUUUGUCUCAAACUUCUUGCCUUACUAUACUUUCUGGGUUCGACAGCAUUCCCCAUAUACAAGAAAAUAGGGUCCCCAAGACUCUGUAUAGCGUGUGUCCCUUUUUAUAAUGGUUAUCAAUGGUCUUGCUUCAGCUGUGGGGUCUGCAGUGUCACCUUCCUCGUAUGCUGAUGACUUUUGCAUCCACUAUUGCUCCUGAACUGUAGGUGUUGUUGAAUGCCAACUGCAGGGUGCUGUUCAAAUGUGCAGUCCUCGGCUGUCACCCAUGGCUUCUGGUUUUCUGCCGCAAAGAUGUGUCAUGCACUUCUGUUGCUGUCGUUCUGUCUAUCCCCAACCUGAAAUCUACUCCAAAGACCAAAUGCUCAGUGUGGUGUAGUCUUAUCAUUUUUUCGGACUGGUCAUCAGUGCCUGGUUAAUGUGGCUUCCUCAUCUUCCCCAACUUAAGGAAAUGUGCUGGUCACACCUUAACACUCAUCGCUGUCUCUGUUACACCAUCUGUGGUGAAGACUGUUCUACACUUUUGGGUUCUAAAAGGCUCUGAUUCUUUCACAUCCUGAUUAUGGAAGCCUGGCAUCAUCUUCAGCAUUUCAGACACUGGCUGGACCCGAUAUACCAUUAUGGUUUCCAACUUGCAACAGGUAGCUUUUGGACUAGCCCUGUGAACAGCCUGGUCACAGAGCUGGCGUCAUCAGCUACUGCUCAACUGAGCAUCUGAACUACCGUGUACUUUUUCCUGUUAAGGAGCUUGACCUCCCAUAACAGAGGUCAUGGUUUGGCAUCAUGAUUGCAGUUCGCAUACAAAAUCUCUGCCCUGAACUCCAUCUUUCUCCACUGUUGCUUCGUGUCAGGGAGCAAUCACAUGCAGGGUGUGUAACCCAUACUCAAAUCUGCCUUGGCCUCUCCUAUGGACUAAAAGACUGUAUAGACCCUUUGGUUUCUCAUAACCUGUUCCUGGAUGUCCUCAGUGCGUUUCCAGGCUCAGACGUGGUGUAUACUAAUGGUUCUAAAGUCAGUGGGUGAACCAGUUUUGCCUACACUUAUGCAAGAUGCAGUGAACUACACCUAUGCUGAGUGGAUGCAGUGUACUGACUGUGGAAUUGGUGACCAUUGCUCGAGGCCUGAACCACAUUCAUUCUUGCACUGGCAAGCUGUUCUUAAUCAGCAGUGACUCCGUGAGUAGUCUUCAGGCUGUCGACCAGUGCUACCCUCAACACUCAUUGGUUGUCAUUAUCCAGGAUCUCCUGUAUAAUCUCCACCAUGCUGGAUGGUCAGACAUCUUUGUAUGGGCCCCUGGUCACAUUGGGAUCCUUGGGAAUGAACAUGCUGACUGGAUGGCUAAAUUGGCUACCAGGAUGCCAACUUUGGAGGUGGGGGUAGCGGAACCAGACCUUCAGUUGACUCCAUGCUGACAGUUGUUGGAGACUAGGAAUCAAUUGUCACAUCAUUGGUACAAAGUCAACUGCCAUAUCUUCCCUAAAUUUAAGCCUUUUUCUUUUCUGUUAAAAUUAUUGUGAUGUUUAUAAAUCUCUAUGGCUUUUCUGUACAUAGAUGCAUAAUAAUGCUAUGUCAUAACUAGCAUGCUUUUCUCACUACAUUUUAAUUCAUGAUCACCAUCGUCAAAAACAUGUUCUGCUACAGCCGAUUUGUCAGUGAUUCCCAGGUGACAGUUUCGUUUUCGUUUGGUUAGGCGGAUAUUAACACUUCUUUUCAUUGUUCCAAUAUAAACUUCAGUAGGGGUUCCAAUAGCACUCACUAUUGGUCUCAGUGGGACAGAAGGCGUAUGCACCUUAGGUAGCCCAUAAAAUCUAGGAUGGUAUGCUUCCUUUUUUUUGCAAGGGUAUUUUUUAUCAUCUGUAGGAAUGGAAGACUUUUUUUUAUUAAAUGAUUGGUAGCUGUUAACACUUUUGUUGUAGGAUCCUUUUUCAACUUUUUAUAAGUGGUAGGCUCCAAAACAUCACUGAUCUUCGUAUGGUUGCCUUCACUCUUCAAGUGCUAUUGGAGUGCUAUUAGAUCCACUCCUCAAGAGUUGGCUAGACAUCUCACCUUCUUUUUACAACUGUAUGUUGGAAAAACUGACCAUCAUAUUAAGAAGUCUAUGCACUUUAUUGAAAAAUUGAAGGAGAUUACUGUCAGUCCAAGUAAUGUUCUUGUCAGUUUUGAUUUGGUAUCCCUGCUCACCAUGGUUCUGAUUAACGAAGCUCUUUCUUACGUGGCUGAUAAGUUUCCCACUGUUACGGUAUCUUUGUUUUGACAUUCCCUAUCCAUGAUUAUUUUCAGUAUAAUUAUGAGUUCUGUGAGCAGAUUGAAGGAGUGACAAUGGAAAGCCCUCUAAGUCCAGUUGCUAAUCUUUUUAUGGAAUUUUUUGAACAGCAGGCGCUGCAGUCAGCCAAUAAAAGUCCUCUGAAGUGGUAUUGAUGUUGUGGAUGAUGCUUUUGUGAUAUCACAAUGAAGAGGAAUUGAAUGGUUUCUUGGUGCAUUUAAAUAGUGUCAGAGAGCAAUGGACAGCUUAAUUUUUUGAAUGUUUCAGUAAUUAAAAGGGCAGAUUGGACCUUAGGCCAUAAAGUAUAUAGGAAAGAUACACGUACCGACCAUUACCUCCAUAACGAUUUGAACCAUCAUCCCAGGCAGAAGAGAGGUGUUAUUAAAACUUUGAUGGACAAGGCUAAUGAAAUCUGUGAGCCAGUUUAUUUGCAUGAGAAACUAGAUCAUUUGCAAACAGCUUGUAAGAAAAAUGGAUACACUGAUAAUGAGAUAGGCUGAGCACUCCAUCGCAGAAGAAAAGUGUCCAAAAACAUGGAACAACAACAACAACAACAACAACAACAACAGCAGCAGCAGCAGCAGCAACCAUCGACUGGGAAAAUUUUUCUUCCAUUUAUCCACAAUAUUAUGGACCGUAUUGGGAAAGUUAUGGCCCAAGUUUUCUAAGUUGAAACAAUCUUUAGACACACCAAGAAGAUUUAUAAACAUCACAAUAAUUUUAACAGAAAAGAAGAAGCCUUAAAGUUAGAUAAGAUAUGGCUGCCAACUUUGACUGUCAGAGAUAGUUUCACUGGUGACAGCAUGUGACAAGUGAGGGUACCCUCUAUGCACUCUACAUAAACGGGACCUCUGCAGUCCACAGUCCAGGAGCCAGUUGUUGACUCACCUUGAAAGAUGUUGCCUGCAGCUAGCAACGAAACAUCAGGAAGAAUUUCUACUGUUCAACCAUGGCAUCUUAGCCCAGAAGUUUUAAUUAAUUAGAGAAUCUACUGUCCUGGCCACCUUUUGGUGAAACUUUAAAUAUAUUGAUGCAAUAACGCUGGUGCUAGCAGACGACACCAGAGCAGUUGAUUUGGUUUAAUUUUUUACUUGUGAGUUUAGUUUUUCAUUCUCUCUGUGUCAUACAGCACAUUAGCCUCAUUGGCUGCGUGAGGGAUUGGAGGGAUGCCCCCAUCACCUGCUCCGAACCGAGGGUCCUACAGCUGCCCUUGCUCAGUGGUCCAUCCUAGCUCAUGCCCUUUUCACCUUUUUAAAUCAUGUUAUUCUUUCACAUCUAUUGUCGGUUGACAGACUUGACGUAAUUGUUCUCUUUCCUGAGAUUUUAUCUUGUCCAUGUAGCUAGUUUACUUGUGGUUAUAGAGGGUAUGGCAGCACCAUUCGGGUGCAGAGGACUUGUUUCUAGCUGCAUAAUGUGUUACUGGGUCUCCAGCUGCUUUCUAGGCAGGGCAACUCUUCCACCUUCACCCUUUUACCCCUCUCUCACUUCUACUUGUUUCUGACUCUUUAUUCUCAGAUACAGUCGAGCCCAUUGUGAUUUGUCUUUUGUGUCCUUCCUCUCUGAUUCCCAGAUUGUCACACAAAGGAUUAAGGGAGUAGUGACCUCAUGGUUUGGUUCCUUUAACCCCACCCACCCAUCCGUCCAUCCAUCCACACAUCUAUCCAUCCAUCCAUCAACCUUAACACUAUUUGCUGUAAGUAGCAGCCUUAAAUUAAAGAUAUGGUGAAGUUAUAUGAAGUUAUGGUUGAGAUACCACAAAUGAAGAUCAUGUGAAUAUGAGUUCACAGUUCACUGGUACAUGACUGCUUGGUGAUGAAACAUGUUUCUUACACAUUACGUUGGCAGCAAGCAUGACAAACAUUCAUCAAGAUCUACAUGUUGCUUCCUGUCUAGCUGGAUGUUUUGAAGGGCACAUAGUGUACCAGUAUCAUUUUAGCUCCUAUCGAUUCCAUCCUCAUAAUGUGUGCAGGAAGAAUGAUUUUUGUCUUCUUCUGUAUAAGUACAAAUUUUCCUGGCAUUACUGUCGUGGAUAUUAUCUGAACUGUAUGUGGAAGAAGGUAGUUUGGCAAAUUCAAUUAUUUUGUGUUGUUUUCCAAAUAUCACAGAUUGUUGUUUCACCAACAUUAUAAAUCAGUGCCAGAUUCUACUUAUCAGUGUUGCCUUCUUCAAGUUUGUGUAUUAUUUACAGUUUCUGCUGUAUCAUGAUAACAACACAUUUUUGCUUUUAAGACUGUGUGUAGCAAUAACAGAAACCAAAUGACUACAGUAUCCACCGCAACAGUACAGUCCAGUACUUGAUGUGUUUGAACAGCACAUCGUUUACUACACUCAUGUUGUAACAUGACAUUAUCCUUCCAGGUAGAAGAAAAAUUUUCAGCACCCAGCAGCUAAAAAAAAGGAAGGAAGAAAGUUGGGAGAAAUAGGCCACAUAUAAUCCGCUCGCAGCUAAUAGCCAGAUGCUAACUGUUCCACACAUACAAAGCUGGGCUGCUCCAGACAGCAAUUGGAAUCAGCAGUAUUCAUGCCCUAAUUGCUUCAAAGUAUAUCGCUGGAUGAUCUCAUUGCGCAGACAUAUGAGAUUAGAAUGUGGAAAAGAGGGAAACCUUUGUUGCUCCAUCUGCAGUCGUCGCUUCAAGCAUAAGCAUCACCUUGUUAAUCACUUAGGUGUUCACAGACGCAGGGAUUACAUGGCCAGUGGAAGCAGUUAACUGGUCUGAAAAUUGUGUGGAGGGCUCUGAUGAAAGAAUUGGUUUAGAGGCAAGAUUUGUGUGCAGUAACUGCGGAAAAUAUUAUCACCUGAAUACUUCUCUCCAACGCCAUCUGCGUGUAGAAUGUGGACAAGAAGGAAGACAUGCAUGUUUCUCAUGUGGUCGCAAAUUUAAGCAUAGGUUUACUCUCGCAACGCAUGUAAGAAGAAACAUCUGUGACAGAUUCAGGAACUUACAGUGAAAUAAGAGCAAUUUUGACUGUAAAAGGAUUUUACAGUGUGAUUGCAAGCAUUUCAAUAAAUCAAUAUCGCAUAUGAGGCAUUUUGUUGAGUCA